rnacentral:sRNA from 1 species
AAUUGGAAAAAACGCGAAAAAAGAAAAAUCCGGUUCCGACACAUUCACGUUUGGUAAUCUAUUCCGCAAGAAGGUGAGAAUUUCAUAUUUCUUGUUGGUUGAGGCUGAAGCUACAAGCUACAUUGGGCCAAAAACUGUAGUUUGUAGUGUGAGCCUCAACCAACAAUUCACGCAUUUUUUGGGCGUUUUAACUAAAAAAAAAUUAAAUUUUUUGUGAGUGAUUUCUGAAAUUAAAUACCUUCUUUCUUAUUCAGCCACCAACAAGUCGUCCAAAUCUAGCUGACAUCAUAUCGGAUCUGGAUCAAAGAUCAACGACAGGGGGCCGUGGUGGUGGAUCAUUGUCGGCUGGAGCCACUAAUGUAGGUUACCAGUUAAUUCGGAAAAAGUUUUUGUUUUUUUCUGCCAAAAAGAGAUGAUUAUAGGUUUAUAUAUAUAUAUACACGCUUGGCUGAAAAGAAGAAGAAGAAGCUGGUGUUUAUUGAGUUUUUUAGUGGAGGAGAGUGGAGAAGAUAUGAUUUUGUUUUGGUUUUCUCGAAAUUUUUUUUUCUCAAUUUUAGUCGAUUUAACGAGAAAGAAAUUGAUUGAUUUCUCCCCUUCCACCCCGAAAAAACGAAUUUUUUUUGAUGGAAAAUGUUCAUUUUCCCCCAAUAGAUAUUUGCUACCUCGUGAUUUUUUUGUUCUGUUAGCUUCAGAAAAAUGCCGUCUAGAGUAUUUGAAUUUCGGGUAAAUUUCAUAGUUUCAUAGAACUUUUUAAUUAAAAAUAUUAAUUAGUAGCCUCUCAAGGUUUGAUUUUUCAAAAAAUUUGAAUUUUAAGCACAACAAUUUAAUAUGCUAUUUUCUAUCUUAACAUUUUUUAAACGUGUUAUUGUUAAAUACUUCAGUCAUUAAAUAAUGGUUGAGGCUGAACACUACAAACUACAAACUUGAACAUCGAAAAAUGUUCCACGUGGAAUAGAAAUGUAGGAAAAUGUUUGAACCUAAUUCGAACAUUGUAUUUAUAACAACGAAUAACAUAGUUUUUGAAAAUGUCAUAAAUUUGUAAAAAUUUUUGUUGGAGUGUAUAUAUUCGAGAAAAUUGUCAUAUUUUUGUCGUUGGAAAACAAUUCGGCUGCAUGACAAUAAUCACAUGUUCGAAAAUUUUAAUUCCGAAAUCCUCUACUAAAUAAUAAUGUUUUGGUGUUUCUAAUAGUAAGAAUAGCUACACGUGGAGUGAAACUGUCCCAGUACUUUUUGAUCUACAAACAGUGCGGGAUUUUUUGCCCAGGAAAAUGUGAUGUCAGCACACUCUUAACCAUGAUGCAAAAUCAGUUGAGAAAUCUGCUUCUGAAUUCCCGCAAUUCUUGUAGAUCAAACCGAAAUGGGACAGAUUUUCACAAAAAUUUUUAAAUUUCAUCUAAAGUUCUUCACUCUUCACUCCAAAUAUAUCCUACCGAAUCGUAUAGUUUUAUCUCUCCCAGAAAGCGACGAAAAGACUUUCAUAUUAGAAGCCUGAACUACAAUUAAAUGUACACAUAUUCUUUUUUUCAGCGACGCAGUACAUCUGCUACAAUUCUUCCGAUGAGUUCUGCUGGUGGAUGCGACCCGACGACUCCAUUUGAUUCUGCGUGCUCACUUGACGG